rnacentral:rRNA from 1 species
GAUGAACGCUGGCGGCGUGCUUAACACAUGCAAGUCGAACGAAGCACUUUAUUUGAUUUCCUUCGGGACUGAUUAUUUUGUGACUGAGUGGCGGACGGGUGAGUAACGCGUGGGUAACCUGCCUUGUACAGGGGGAUAACAGUUGGAAACGGCUGCUAAUACCGCAUAAGCGCACGGCAUCGCAUGAUGCAGUGUGAAAAACUCCGGUGGUAUAAGAUGGACCCGCGUUGGAUUAGCUAGUUGGUGAGGUAACGGCCCACCAAGGCGACGAUCCAUAGCCGACCUGAGAGGGUGACCGGCCACAGUGGGACUGAGACACGGCCCAAACUCCUACGGGAGGCAGCAGUGGGGAAUAUUGCACAAUGGGCGAAAGCCUGAUGCAGCGACGCCGCGUGAGCGGAGAAGUAUUUCGGUAUGUAAAGCUCUAUCAGCAGGGAAGAUAAUGACGGUACCUGACUAAGAAGCACCGGCUAAAUACGUG